UGCCUGGGUUCAGUGAUCGUCUCUGCUGGCUGUAGGGCAGCAGUCAGAGGGGACAUCACAGGCCUCCAGAGG
ensembl:miRNA MIR8079 microRNA 8079